rnacentral:rRNA from 1 species
GACGAACGCUGGCGGCGUGCUUAACACAUGCAAGUCGAACGGAAAGGCCCUGCUUUUGUGGGGUGCUCGAGUGGCGAACGGGUGAGUAACACGUGAGUAACCUGCCCUUGACUUUGGGAUAACUUCAGGAAACUGGGGCUAAUACCGGAUAGGAGCUCCUGCUGCAUGGUGGGGGUUGGAAAGUUUCGGCGGUUGGGGAUGGACUCGCGGCCUAUCAGCUUGUUGGUGGGGUAGUGGCUUACCAAGGCUUUGACGGGUAGCCGGCCUGAGAGGGUGACCGGCCACAUUGGGACUGAGAGACGGCCCAGAGUCCUAUGGGAGGCAGCAGUGGGGAAUAUUGCACAAUGGGCGGAAGCCUGAUGCAGCAACGCCGCGUGCGGGAUGACGGCCUUCGGGUUGUAAACCGCUUUCGCCUGUGACGAAGCGUGAGUGACGGUAAUGGGUAAAGAAGCACCGGCUAACUACGUG